GGGUGACCAUUUUGCUAAAGCACUUCCAUAAACUUUUCCUAUGGUGCAUUUGCUUUGUCAAUUUAAUCUAGAAUUUUUUUUAUUAAACCAUAUAAUUAGUUUUUUUUCACAUAAAAAAUUUGGAUAAAAGAAUACUACUCUUUUCUCUAAAUUAAUUAGUUAAAAAAUUAGUUUUUUUACUAAUUGUUUCAGUAGGGAUUUACAAAUCUUUUAUAUAAUUGGCAAUAGAAAUCAAAUCUAAAUCUUUCAAGUAAGGUACAUUAUAUUUUAUCAACUGAGAUACACCCGUUCCAUUCAUUAUUAUUAUUCUAAAACAGUUACAGGACAAUGGGCAUGCAUGUUUUUCCCCAGUAAAAAUAUGGUAGAAAUGCAUUGGGAAGGAAUAAAUAAUUAAGUCCCCUGGAAUUGGGAUGACUUGUUGGUUUUCAAGUCAAUAUUAGACGGCAAUGCUUCAUUCUAAACUUGGGUCAUCCCAUUUUAGACUGUUGAACAAAAUAUAAUAGGGACUUGGUCGGCUGGUCUCCUUCCAUGUUCUACCAUCCCUUUUUCGCACCUUUAAAUUAUAUGUAUUUGGCACGAGUAUGCGUAAUUUGUUCAAUCUUGUUCUUUCCUAACAGAAAGAAAAGAAAAUUGUUGAAUUCCACCGCAACUUUCGUAUGUUUUUCUUGCCUUAACAUUGUUUUCUCAAUUAAUCAACAUAUUCCCUUGUUUCUUAUUUUAUUUCUUUCGUAACGACACCGGUAUAUGUUAAUCAAAGUCGUUCAUGCAUUAGCUGGUCUUUCGCUCCCAUUUUUUCGUAAAAUUGGGUUCCUAAUUUCAACCAAUUUGCGUAUGCAAAAUUAUUUUAAGAUUUUUAUGAAAAAACUAUUCAUUAUUUUUUUAUUAAAAAAAUAGUCAAUAAUAAAUUUAAAAUUAUUAAAUAUUACAUUAUAAAUAAUAAUCAUAUAAAUCAAUUAGAUUAAACUCAAAAUUAAAAGAUCAUUUAAUGAACGACAUCAAUGCAAUUUAGAAUUAUUUUGGCAUCAUAAUUGAUUCCGCUGAAUUUUUAAUAAAAAAUGAUAAUUAAAAAAAAAAAAAAACCAGUCCACCAACCUAAGGAAAAUUAAAGUGAUCAAACGGUGGUUUUUGGAAAACGCCAAUUCUCCGCCACUUCGUUACGUGCUGACAGUCAUAGAAUUUCUUGCCCUUCGUCUCCUAAACGCCAUAUCUCAAACUUGCUGUACGCGUUAACAGUUGCAAUCACCAUAUCUAUAAACGUUGCCAAUUUUUCCAGGAAAAGAAAGUUGCGUCCUCGUUUGGGACGGGUUAGGUACAGGCAAAUGCGAAAAUGCAAAACCCAAGUAAAUUACUC
rnacentral:lncRNA from 1 species